UUCGAAGGGGGCUAGCGUUGUUCGGAAUCACUGGGCGUAAAGCGCACGUAGGCGGAUCUUUAAGUCAGAGGUGAAAUCCCGGGGCUCAACCUCGGAACUGCCUUUGAUACUGGGGAUCUCGAGUCCGGGAGAGGUGAGUGGAACUGCGAGUGUAGAGGGGAAAUUCGUAGAUAUUCGCAAGAACACCAGUGGCGAAGGCGGCUCACUGGCCCGGUACUGACGCUGAGGUGCGAAAGCGUGGGGAGCAAACAGG
rnacentral:rRNA from 1 species